rnacentral:lncRNA from 1 species
UUAUUCGAUCGAUAUUUUUCGUAUUAUUAAAGUAUAAAGUGUGUUUCUCGCUGGAGAGUAAAAUUUUCGGAAUAAUCUCACCGGGAAAAUGGAAUUUUAAUAUUUCAGAAUGCUUCCUGAACAUCUUCAACGACCCUUUCGUGCCUCGAACGCAUCUUCCACGUUGGAAUUUUCACACGCUCGAGAAGGUAGAAACAAAGAGGCGGCCUUGAGGAUUUCGGUAAAGGAAGAGAAAUAGGAAGAGGAGGGUGAGGAGGAUGAGGAAGAUGAGGAUGGAGGAUACCAUGAGGGUGGGUGACAAUGUCUCGCGAUUUACCCCCGCGCAUUGUGCUGUCUCCAACCCUCUAACCCCAAACCCUUCUCAACGAGUUCGAAGCAUCUCAACAGACAGAACGCGAAGCUGGUGUAAUCCGAAACUGUGGUUUGUUUGCUCGCAAACCUGACCGACCACCACUGGAGAAUCCGCGAGAAGAUAUCCUCUUCCACGAACCACGUCGUUACUUGAGCAUCGAGUAUCCCUUCGAGCGAACUUCUAAGGAAAAUGUUUCUCAUCCGUUGCUUGCUUUUCCCUCUUUCUACCCCCUCCCUCCUACCCUUUUCCAACUUCAUCUUCUCUCUCUCUCUUUCUCUUUCUCUUUCUUUCUUCCUCAAUUAUUUGUGUUCCUGUUAAUCCAACUUAUCCUAGUCAUCGUAUUGUAUACUGAAAAUAACCAAGAAUUCAGAAACUAUGAAGAGGAUGACGUCCAACGGGAAUUAAAAUUUUUCCAACAUUUGUAACAUUUCACCAUGCAUGGAUGCAGAAUACAGUUAAGACGAUUAUUUUUUUUUUUUUCACACGACUAAGAAUUGCAUAGAGUAUGAGAAGCGAGGAUAAAACUGAGUAACUGAAAGUGUGUGAGAGCGAAAGAGAAAGAAGAAAUAAAGGACGAAAGAAAAAAAAGGG